UUUUAUUUGAGAGUUUGAUCCUGGCUCAGGAUGAACGCUGGCGGCGUGCCUAACACAUGCAAGUUGAGCGAUUUACUUCGGUAAAGAGCGGCGGACGGGGGAGUAACGCGUGGGUAACCUACCCUGUACACACGGAUAACAUACCGAAAGGUAUGCUAAUACGGGAUAAUAUAUUUGAGAGGCAUCUCUU
rnacentral:rRNA from 1 species